rnacentral:rRNA from 1 species
AUUGAACGCUGGCGGCAGGCCUAACACAUGCAAGUCGAACGAGCGGCGGACGGGUGAGUAAUGUCUGGGGACUGCCCGAUAGAGGGGGAUAACUACUGGAAACGGUGGCUAAUACCGCAUACGAUCGGAUAACCCAUAUGGGAUUAGCUAGUAGGUGGGGUAAAGGCUCACCUAGGCGACGAUCUCUAGCUGGUCUGAGAGGAUGAUCAGCCACUGUGGGACUGAGAUACGGCCCAGACUCCUACGGAGGCAACAUUGGGGAAUAUUGCACAAUGGGCGCAAGCCUGAUGCAGCCAUUCGGCGUGUACGAAGAAGGCCUUAGCGGUGUAAAGGACGUUCAGUGGGGCGGCGUUACCCGCAGAAGAAGCACCGGCUAACUCCGUGCCAGCCGCCGCGGUAAUUC